GAUGAACGCUGGCGGCGUGCCUAAUACAUGCAAGUCGAGCGAACAGACGAGGAGCUUGCUCCUCUGACGUUAGCGGCGGACGGGUGAGUAACACGUGGAUAACCUACCUAUAAGACUGGGAUAACUUCGGGAAACCGGAGCUAAUACCGGAUAAUAUAUUGAACCGCAUGGUUCAAUAGUGAAAGACGGUUUUGCUGUCACUUAUAGAUGGAUCCGCGCCGCAUUAGCUAGUUGGUAAGGUAACGGCUUACCAAGGCAACGAUGCGUAGCCGACCUGAGAGGGUGGUCGGCCACACUGGAACUGAGCCACGGACCAGACUCCUACGGGAGGCAGCAGUAGGGAAUCUUCCGCAAUGGGCGAAAGCCUGACGGAGCAACGCCGCGUGAGUGAUGGAGGUCUUCGGAUCGUAAAACUCUGUUAUUAGGGAAGAACAAAUGUGUAAUUAACUAUGCACGUCUUGACGGUACCUAAUCAGAAAGCCACGGCUAACUACGUG
rnacentral:rRNA from 1 species